UAGCUCAGUCAGUAGAGUACUUUUCUUGCAUGCACAGGCCCUGGCUUCAAUCCCCAGCACCACCAAAAACAGAAAAAGUAUAAUGGGCUAGAGAUAUAGCUCAGUUGGUAGAAUGCUCGCUUCACAUGCACAAGGCCCUGGAUUCAAUUCCCAGCCACACACACACACAAAUGGAUCAUUUGUCUGCUGGUGUUCCUUCCAGCUGAUGAAAUUCCAGAAGAUUCUAAUGAACUAAAAUUCUAUUUCCCCUAAGAAGUCUGUGAACUUAAUGACUGGUUUGAAAAUGAUUAUGUACAAGGAAGAAUAAGAAGACAUUUGAUACAGUGGUUCUGCUGUUUGAUCACCAUGAUUGUUUCCUCCAAAUUAAUGAUCUGUAUGUGAGUGAAUGGGGUAUGAAUUAUCAUGUACCCAAAACAAUGUAGAAGCAUGGCACAGCAGAUGGGAACAUUUAAUAAAGAGCACUCAUGUUGAUGUAAUUGAAUCAUGAAAGAAUUCCAAAAAGAGUAAUGCCAUGUAGAAAUGAAUGUGAGCCUUGUCUAAGGUGAGUCAUGCCCUACAAGUAAAAAGUGGGGUAAUGGGGAAGCAGAGCUGGGAAUGUAACUCGGUAGUAGAGCGUGUGUGUUACCUAGCCUACACAAGGCCCUGGGAAUUUAACCCAGAACUGCAAAACAAAUUUGAAAAGAAAAAGCAGCUAUUUAUCACUAUAUAAGACUUUAAAAUAUAGUUAAUAAGUUAAUGAUCAUGAAAGUUAGCUAACUUUUACAGAUUACUUGUAUGCAGUUGCUCAUAAUUUCCCCCUAUAAUAUACUUUUUUCAUAUGCUGAAUUUUCUUUUAAUUUUAGUUUUAGAUUCUUUUAUUUGUGUGUUUGUUUUGGUGUUUUCCAACUAUUUUCCUUUUAGCUUAGUUUGGGGAAUUUGUUAGGUGUUUUCUCUUUUUUUUAAUUGUCAGCAUUAUAUUAUAAUUUGUAAUAUUAUAUAUUUCAUCAUAACAUGAUUUCAAAUACUGGAGGUAUAAAUUGUAGUAACAUUUUUAGGGAAAAAAAAAAGACUUUAGAGAAUUCUAAUUUGCCUUAUGAAGUCUUUGCAAAUUUGAUGCCUGGAAAAUGCAGUAUCAAUAUGUUGG
rnacentral:lncRNA from 1 species